UUUCUAUACAAGUCCGCAGCUCACCACUAUCGAUGCUGAAUCCCAUUAAUGGGAAUUCACAGAGGCCCUUGUAGAAGAAUCCGUGCUUACAUGUGUGGUUCUCCAGCCCCUUCUAGUAGCUGGACCACAAAGAGAUGGAUGAGUCGGCUACUGCUUUUGAGCUAACCACUGAGUCUUUUAGCUCAGAUAGUGAGGCUUUUUUUUUUUUUAAAUAAGAUCUAGACUUCUUGAGUUCAAUCCCUUAGAGCUGAUGACGUCCCACCAUGGAGCAAUGUGUUACAUUUAGAUACCACACUGGUGGGCAUUGUUAAAUAAUUUCUCUUAAUUGGGUUGUAUUACUUGGAAGAUAGUAUGUGGUCAUGCAAUUAAAGACUGUCUUGUAAUGCAUGUACAUAAGGGACAACCUAUUUAGCAUUUCCUUUUAAGUUCUUAAUUAUGAAAUGUUAAUUUUUAAAAUAUUUUUAUGAACUAUAUCUACAUCUAUAUGGUUUAAUAUUUCAAGGUCAAACUAUAGCAAGUUUAGUUUAGGCACCUGUAAUUGAAAAACUGACUAUUUUAGCUGAUACAACCCAGCUUGAUUGAGAGGUGAGUGUUUGCCUUUCUUUUGGGGAUAUCAUAAAAAUACAAAUAGAGAGUAUAAAAUUCAUAGCUCUCAUUUGAGUGUUUUCUGGAUCAUGAUUUGGACUGCAAACUUGAUUCCAUAAAAAUGAAUAAUUUUGUACUGCAAGAGAGUAACUGCAUAGAUUAAAUUAAUUCCAUGUAGUGCUAUUAAAACAUUUAAAGGGGCAUCUGCAUUUUAUUUUUUAACCAUUACGUGUUAUGACAAAAUUUAAUCUCAAUUUUUAAGUAUAGUUUAAUACAGAAAACCCCAUCUGUUCAUUCUAAAACCUGUCAAAAAUGUAAUAGAUU